UUUAACUAUUAAAUAAUUUUCAGACAGCAAUUAUCAGGGAUUUUAAAGUCCUCUGGCAGGCACUGACCAGCCAAAGCCAGUGGCCAUGAGGCGGGCCUGCCAAAACAACAAAAGGUAAAAAUAAGCAAAGGAUAGGAGAUCUACCCAAUGAGGGCAUGUUCUCUAUAAUGAUCCUUCCGCAGGUUCACCUACGGAAA
rnacentral:misc_RNA from 1 species